rnacentral:rRNA from 2 species
ACUCUCGGCAAUGGAUAUCUUGGCUCUUGCAUCGAUGAAGAACGUAGUGAAAUGCGAUACUUGGUGUGAAUUGCAGAAUCUCGUGAACCAUUGAGUCUUUGAACGCAAGUUGUGCCCGAGGCUUUGUGGCCGAGGGCACGCCUGCUUGGGCGUC